rnacentral:rRNA from 1 species
AUCAUUAAGUGAAUACAUAGCUUAAUGAGGGGAACUCAGGGAACUGAAACAUCUAAGUACCUGAAGGAAGAGAAAGAAAUUCGAUUCCGUAAGUAGCGGCGAGCGAACGCGGAUUAGCCCAAACCAAUAAAGUUUUCUUUAUUGGGGUUGCGGACAUAUCAUAACGAAGAGGGAUCGUAAUUGAAGAGGUUUGGAAAGACCCACCACAGAAGGUAAUAGUCCUGUAUGUUAAACGAGAAGAC